GGUGGCUUCUACGCAGUUGCAGCAGUCACCUGAGUAUGCCUGCAUUACGCUGCAUGCACCGACCUCGGACUGACGACGCUGAUAUACGAAUAACCGAAUAUAACCAUCAAUAACAUUUGUGAUUAUCAGGUGUGAGGACUUACCUGUGAUGCUAUCGGAUGACGCUUAUUGGACUUCAUCAGUCGGACGACAGUGAGUAAUGGAAAGAAAUCCCGACUCAAGUGACCAUCAGAUCACCGGAAGGCUUACUGAGGAAGCAGCUGAAGUCCUGAGCAGGAAUGAACAAGGGAGACCACCCACCUAUAUAUCAGCCACACAACACAACUUCAGGGGUCCAGUGUCUCAGGUGAACUUGACCAAUGCUUCCAAUGUCUCUGUCUCCGUUGGGGAGCAGGAACUAGAGGAUGUCUGUCCC